UACAGAGGGGGCAAGCGUUGUUCGGAAUUACUGGGCGUAAAGGGCGCGUAGGCGGCCUGUUAAGUCGAACGUGAAAUCCCUGGGCUCAACCCAGGAACUGCGUCCGAUACUGGCAGGCUUGAAUUCGGGAGAGGGAUGUGGAAUUCCAGGUGUAGCGGUGAAAUGCGUAGAUAUCUGGAGGAAUACCGGUGGCGAAGGCGGCAUCCUGGACCGGCAUUGACGCUGAUGAGCGAAAGCUAGGGGAGCAAACGGG
rnacentral:rRNA from 1 species